GGGGAAUCUUCCGCAAUGGGCGAAAGCCUGACGGAGCAAUGCCGCGUGAGUGAUGAAGGAAUUCGUUCCGUAAAACUCUUUUGUUUAUGACGAAUGUGCAGAUUGUGAAUAAUUAUUUGUAAUGACGGUAGUAAACGAAUAAGCCACGGCUAACUACGUGCCAGCAGCCGCGGUAAUACGUAGGUGGCGAGCGUUGUCCGGAAUUAUUGGGCGUAAAGAGCAUGUAGGCGGUUUCUUAAGUCUGGAGUGAAAAUGCGGGGCUCAACCCCGUAUGGCUCUGGAUACUGGGAGACUUGAGUGCAGGAGAGGAAAGGGGAAUUCCCAGUGUAGCGGUGAAAUGCGUAGAUAUUGGGAGGAACACCAGUGGCGAAGGCGCCUUUCUGGACUGUGUCUGACGCUGAGAUGCGAAAGCCAGGGUAGCGAACG
rnacentral:rRNA from 1 species